GAUGAACGCUGGCGGCGUGCCUAAUACAUGCAAGUCGAGCGAACGGACGAGAAGCUUGCUUUUCUGAUGUUAGCGGCGGACGGGUGAGUAACACGUGGAUAACCUACCUAUAAGACUGGGAUAACUUCGGGAAACCGGAGCUAAUACCGGAUAAUAUUUUGAACCGCAUGGUUCAAAAGUGAAAGACGGUCUUGCUGUCACUUAUAGAUGGAUCCGCGCUGCAUUAGCUAGUUGGUAAGGUAACGGCUUACCAAGGCAACGAUGCAUAGCCGACCUGAGAGGGUGAUCGGCCACACUGGAACUGAGACACGGUCCAGGCUCCUACGGGAGGCAGCAGUAGGGAAUCUUCCGCAAAGGGCGAAAGCCUGACGGAGCAACGCCGCGUGAGUGAUGAAGGUCUUCGGAUCGUAAAACUCUGUUAUUAGGGAAGAACAUAUGUGUAAGUAACUGUGCACAUCUUGACGGUACCUAAUCAGAAAGCCACGGCUAACUACGUG
rnacentral:rRNA from 1 species